UACAGAGGUCUCAAGCGUUGUUCGGAUUCAUUGGGCGUAAAGGGUGCGUAGGCGGCGCGGUAAGUCGGGUGUGAAAUCUCGGAGCUUAACUCCGAAACUGCAUUCGAUACUGCCGUGCUUGAGGACUGGAGAGGAGACUGGAAUUUACGGUGUAGCGGUGAAAUGCGUAGAUAUCGUAAGGAAGACCAGUGGCGAAGGCGGGUCUCUGGACAGUUCCUGACGCUGAGACGCGAAAAGCGUGGGGGAGCAAACAGG
rnacentral:rRNA from 1 species